CCACCUAAUUCUUGCCUGGAAUACUGCA
rnacentral:piRNA from 1 species